GACGAACGCUGGCGGCGUGCUUAACACAUGCAAGUCGAACGGAAAGGCCCCUUUGGGGGUACUCGAGUGGCGAACGGGUGAGUAACACGUGAGUAACCUGCCCUUGACUUCGGGAUAACUUCAGGAAACUGGGGCUAAUACCGGAUAGGAAUCCUUGCUGCAUGGUGGGGGUUGGAAAGCUUCGGCGGUUUUGGAUGGACUCGCGGCUUAUCAGCUUGUUGGUGGGGUAGUGGCUUACCAAGGCUUUGACGGGUAGCCGGCCUGAGAGGGCGACCGGCCACAUUGGGACUGAGAUACGGCCCAGACUCCGACGGGAGGCAGCAGUGGGGAAUAUUGCACAAUGGGCGGAAGCCGGAUGCAGCAACGCCGCGUGCGGGAUGACGGCCUUCGGGUUGUAAACCGCUUUCAGCAGGGGCGAAGCUUGUGGUGACGGUACCUGCAGAAGAAGCACCGGCUAACUACGUG
rnacentral:rRNA from 1 species